GGCGCCGGUUAACGGCCGGGAGGCGUGAGCCUACGGAAAGUGCCACAGAAAAUAUACCGCCAAGCGCGUAAGCGCCGGUAAGGGUGAAAAGGUGCGGUAAGAGCGCACCGCAUUUCCGGCAACGGAAAUGGCAGGGAAAACCCCGCCUGGAGCAAGACCAAAUAGGCGUGCGAUACCGUGGCCCGCGGUGCACGCGGGUAGGUUGCUGGAGCCUGUGCGUAAGUGCAGGCCUAGAGGAAUGGUCGUCCACGACAGAACCCGGCUUA
rnacentral:misc_RNA from 1 species